AAAGUUUGAAAUAUUUACUGAACUUUGUACUUCUUCUUAUUCAUUUCUAUAGCUUAUGACAAGGUACAUAUAUAUUCUAUUUAGCAUUCAUAUUUACCAUUGGUUAUGGCUUAAACUCAGCAAAGAUAGCAUAUUCACAUGUUUGCAAAUCACUUUUGCUGUAUAUAUAAGUGCCAUCAAGGAUCAACCUAGACCUGCGGACGUGCGUAAGCUAGAUAAGUGCGCACAUGAACGCUCAAGAGGCGUGCCAAUGGCACCGCCCCAGUCACUAGUACACUAUUAUACUUGUCAGGGAACUGAACUGGGACCUGCCUGGACCUGAUAACUCAGUCUCAUCCUCCGCUUAAAAAAAGGAUCAUAACAUGAAGUUGAAGAGGUCAUCCUUGGUAGCUUUCUACAGUAAUUCUUCCCAAUUUCCCAUCCAAUAACGGCCAGCUAUUGUUCACUAAUGCAUAAAAACAAAAGGACGUGCUACACCUACAGUGUCACACACAGCAACCAAACAGUGUUCCCUUUUUCCUUCAUCACUUUUCCAGGAAAUCGCCAGGCGUGGACUCCUUCGCUUGGCUCAUACAGGGAAGCAGAACUUUAUGCGUAGCUGCGAGGAAUAGACAACUUGUUCCUUCUGUUGGCCUGGCUGUAUAGGAGAUGAAAUCAGUAGUCAUGCUUCAGUCAAUAAGCUCAUAGUGAAAAAUCAAAAACAAGAGAAAGUUACUGAAAGUUAUGCAUCAAGUAAAUAAUGUUUUUAAUAUGAAAUAAGUGAUGCCUAGACGCUCUGCUCGAACUGAGUAUCACAUGUGCAGAAGCCACCAUUCUAACUACAAUUGUUUUGGAGACUGCAAGGUGAGGCUAAGCACUUCGAUUCAACAGGCCAGUGGAUGAGAAAAAAACAAGACCCCUUUUCCUGAAAAGUACUCUGUAUAUCAUCAGCUUCAGCUGAUAUCGAGAGCAGCGUCUUUGCAGUUGUCAACAUCAAAGCUGCUUUCUCUCGAGGAAGGAGAAGACACAGGUGUUUGGGUUGCUCAAACUUCCGUGGGUUUUCCAGUUCUUCUCAUUGCUUAUUUGUAGCUUAUAGAAAACAGAAAAGACCAAGAGAGAAGCGAUUGUGCCCCUCGUGCGAGUCAUGCCAUCCCACGACUCCACGACCAUCUCACGCAGCUCAUGGUGGCGCUAGACUCGGGCCGCAUGAACAAACUCAUGGUGCCCUCCUCCCCCUACAUUAUUUCAUUUGAAGGAAAAAAACACGUGAGAGGGCAUGGGGCUUAUCCCAACAAUUCACCCCCUAAAAAACUUGUGCCGUUGUCAAUUUCGAUCAUGCCGAUCUUUGCACGGACCUGUAUGAAGCGCACGCUGAAGAGCUUUCGUGAGAAUAUAGCUGUGCGUUAGUGCCAACGAACUCCACCUCAACUUCAUGGCCUCCACGCAUUCCGAAUGAAGGGAAAACGGACGUCGAUGUGUUUGCUUAGAUCGUGGAACACGAGACUUUUGGCAAGUGGCUGAUUUGUUGUCGAUGUAGAGUUGAAUGCAGGCUGGUUCCUCCUUUAGUUCUCCACAGAACCGAGCGAGCCAGAUUCCUUGGCACGCCGCUCUAGUGGCGGCGAUGUACACCGCUUUGCACGAUGUCCACCACUUUCUACUUCAACGGCUGCCAACUGAUGACAUUGUUGCAGUAGAAGGACAUGACGCCGAUGGUGCUCCGACGAGUGUCAGGGUCUCUGGCAUGUUGUCAUCAUUGUCCGUUGUAGCCCAUGAGGUAGCCGUUCCCGAUCCCUCACGUGUAGUGACAACCCCGGUUAACGUAGCGUAGCACUCGCUUCACCGAGGUGAGGUGCUCAGUGGUGUGCACCAUGUACCGCAAGCACCCAAUGACGUUGCAAUACUCCAUCCCAUCCAUCAACGGCAUGGAACUCAGCUUGCUAAGCUUGACGCCGGGCUCCAUCAGCACGUGACAGGUUGCAGUCCGUCAUGCCUCUCCGGUCGAGAAUCUUCGUUGCAUAUGCCUCCUGGCUCAAGGUGGUGUCAUCAGCUAAACUUAAGUGGCCGAACUCGCUCACCUUGAAGAGGCCCUGCAUUUCUUCCUUGAAGCGCACUCCUGGAUGUUGGAGCCAGUCAUGAUAAGUUCAUCGAUGUAGAUGACGACGAGGGGCCGAGACUUGGUCUACCGCGGCAUAGACAACAUGCAUUGCAGUGCUCCGCUCGAAGCCAAACGGCGCGAAGCACCAGUCAAGUUUCUGGUUCCAGGCACGUGGCACUUGAUUCAGGUCGUAGAGCACCUUGUCGAGGUGCAACACCUACCCCUCUUGUCCAUCGACGACGUACCCCAGCAACUUGAAGACAUACACUCCCUCCUCAAGCUUGCCGUGAGCAAGGCAGAUUUCACGCCCAUGUGGUGCACGCCCCAGCCGGCGUGUGCUGCCAGAGCCAGCAAGAGCCACAUGAACUCAAGAUGGGCAACGGGGGCGAGAACCUCAUCCUAGUCCACCCCUGACGCUGCACAUACCCCUUUGCCGGGUGAGCCUUGUGUCUAACCACUGCACCAUGCACGUCCUUCUUGACUUGUACACCCACUUUAGGUCGAUGUGGCAAUAGUCGGGAGGGAGGUGGAUGAGGCACUACGUGCGGUUCUCCUCGCCCAUCGCUUGCUGCCAGCCCCGUUGCUGCUUGGCAUCAGCGUGCGUGGCCAGCUCCUCGUGCAGUUCAUCUUCAUCUACCCCCAAGACGUAGUUGUAGAGUUGGGGUUACGUUGCAUGAUACCAUCAUGGACACACGUGAUCAUCGGGUGCAUACUUGUCGACGGCAUCGAGGGUGAUGUGGCUUGGGAAGGUGACGCCGAGUUGGGGUCUGCCAUGGCAGCUAAUUUGGGUGAAAAGGCUGUCAUGGCAAUGCUCCUUGUUGUCAUGGCAGCCGAUGUUGUCGGUGCUGCCAUGGCAACGUUUUUGGGCAAAAUUGGUGUCGUGGGAGCGGUUCCAUUCCAUUGCAGUAGUUCUGCUCGAACCUGCUGUUGUCCUGGUCCUUCGCAACAUCAGUGCGCGUGUCCUCAUGCAUGCUUGACGUGGAGUACUCGACGGUGAAGGUCAUGGCUUGCAUGCUUGUUGAAGACAACAUCGCGUGUGACAUGGAAACGCCUUGCCGCCAGGCUUGUAUCCAAGGAACACAAUGGGCUUGCUCGUAUCCGUGGGCUUCUAGAAGUAUGGUCUAGUGUCCUUGAGAUGUGCCACGCAACCGAACAGGCGGUGGAAGUGCACAUUCUGCUUGCGUCCAUGCCAGGCCUCAAACAACGUAUUCCCGGCAACGCUACUCGUGUAUGAGCUGUUCGGGAUGAUGACGGUGGUGGUGACAACCUCACCCUGGUAAACGGCUGGCACCCCCUUUGACGUGAGCAUGCUUCUAGCCAUACCGAUGACGGUCUAAUUUCGGCACUUGACGAACACAUCACUAGAGAACUCCUCGUCACGGUUCGUCUAGAAGGUACAACAUGCAUGUGCCGCGAUUGCGCCUGGACGAUGACCUCAUCCUUGGUGCAGAGCAGCAUCAACUGGGUGUACCGGUCAUGGUUGCCCACCAAGGGCAGGAAGUAACGCUUCCGCCAGGCGUCAUCGCUAAGAUCAGCCAGUGGAUAUCUUGUGGACGAGCUCGAGCAUCUUUGCCGCCCAAAACUUUGAUUGCUACAGAAAAGGGGAUUGCCCCUGCUUCCCUUCCAGGCCACCCACAGGGAGGCCAACCACCAAGCCAUUGCACACAGCGCCACCCUUCAUCUUCGCUCUCGCUCGUGGCGAGACACACUGGCUUCACAAUUCUCAAGUGAAUGGUGUGCAAAUGUCUAGGGCACACUGGCUUCACAAUUCUCAAGUGAAUGGUGUGCAAAUGCUAGGGGAACUCUUUGCCCUGGCGAGGAGGUUCGAGGUUCUGCUACCGAUCGUGCAUGGCCAUGACACCGUGCUCCACGUGUGUUGAACACCUCGAGCGACCUCCCUUCACUGAACAGGACCGGGCCCAUUUGUGUAUGUCCACCAGUGAGUUAUGGCCGAACUUCACGGCCCCCGUUCCGUCAAGGUUUGGGAAGGUGGAUACAUUGCUGGUCAUGUGGUUUGAUGUGCCGGUGUCGACAUCACCAAGGGCCUGCCUGAGCUCGACCCAGGCCCACUCUUUCUCGAGGAAGAUACGCUUGUGGCCCACAUGCUCUGUUGUGGCGGGUGAUAGUGCCAUUGCGUCAAACAGAACAACUCAAAUCGUUGCCAUGGCAACAACAGUAGGCACAAUCAAUGUCGUGGCACGUUUUGGGUAAACCCGCUGCCAUGGCAGAGUUUCCUUUCACGACAACCUACGAUGUCGUGGUACCAUUUUGGGGCAAAUCCGCUGCCAUGGAAGGACUUUCUCCUGCCGCGGGCCCGCGUGUUAUCAGGGGUGCCUCCGCCAGUGUUCACUCAUGGAUCAUCAACAACGCUCACUACUCUUCGUCGGCCUGCAUCAGGUGGCCUCCUCCGGCUUCUUGCGGCAGUCACGGGCCCAGUGUCCUAGUUUAUCGCAAUAGCGAUAAUUGUCGUCGGCGGCAUCACAACCGUCGCCUCCUAAUUGAGGUUGGUUUCUGCACCUGCUCUUUUCCUGAAGCGAGAGCAUCCGUCACCACCCUGGCGAGAGUUGUUGCUAUUGACGGAGGAGAUGCUGCCAUUUCCGAAGAAACCAGCACCAGCUUGGUCUUACUUUUUCUGGCGUGCGGCUCACUCUUCAGUGAGCAGAAGGCGGUUGCCGCCCUGGUUGGAUCUGUCCAGCCAGUACCAUUCCUCCACCGCUUUCAAACGCCGAGUGAGCUCGAUUGAGAGUGCGGAGAGGUCGAGCGGGGUCUCAAUGGAGAGAGCCACUUGAAAGUAGCACGCGGGACCACCAGGAGAAAUUCCUCUAUGACUUUUUCUUCCUACACAUCAAUAAGAACUGCAAGGUUGUUGAUCAUACUAGUGAGCCUCAGAGCGAAGUCAUCAACAGUCUCGCCGUCCUUGAAGCGAAUGUUGUCGAACUCCAGGCGCAAAGACUACGCAUUUGCCUUGUGCAUGCAGUCAACUCCCAGACGGAUCGCCUUGAUGAAGUCCCAUGCGCCCUUCACCGUCUCCUUGACAGCGAGAAUCGUCAACACCUUUGGCGGUAUGGGCCAGAGAAUGGCCUCCAGUGCCAGACGAUCAUCAUGGUAGUCAGCAUUAUCGUACCAUGCUUUCCAAGGGGCCUUAGAAGUUGUUGAAAGAACGGUACAUCAAAGGAUGCCCAUUUCAAAUAGAGAGUUGCCAAGAAAACAGUGGAAGAGAUUGGCGUAAAAUUGCUCAUGUACCAAUCAUUGAGAUCAAUGGUGAUACCAACAUACACGGCCAAAGCAUACAUCCUGAUUGCUUCACAGCAGUACAGCGCAAAUGGGACGAACUAGAUGUACUUUCUUUUGGAGAAAAGGCUACAAACCUGCCUUUUAUAAACUAGAUGUACUUUCCUGCUUUUCUAUUACCUAAACACUUUUUUUUACUAUGCAUACUCAAAGCAAUCCUCUACAGGAGAUUUCGUAUUCAUUAUUUCACCUAUUUUGCAUGUUAGCACACAGCGAUACUAAGGUUUGAAUGUCUUCUGUAUCAAAUAGCAAGCAAUAAAUUAUGCAUUAAGAAACUAGAGCAAACAUCAGCAGCAACAACAUAUAUUCAAGCCUUGCAUUCGAAGAAGAAUGACGAAAAAAAACUGGAUUUCCAAUACGAGUAAUAACAAUGUAACAAGAAAAACAGCAAAGACGACAUCAUUGGCCUGAUGUACCAAAAAUUAACCAGCAAAUACUAAAGCUCCUGCUCGCAACAUUUUUCUUUUACAGAUUAAUCAUGUACUAUGGACUAUGGUCAAGCCAUAUUUGUUCAGAAACUAGACCUAAGACUUCAGCUGUGGUACGAAAAGGUUGCCCGUGCACCGUUUCACAUGCACGUCACAUUACAUUCUAAGUAGCGAACUCCAGACUGAUAAUUAUAUACUGCUGGCAACAAAUUUCACAAAAAUAUCCAUGAAAACAUCCACUAGAAGUUAGUGUGGUUCUUUGUACAUAUGCAUUGCGUGCCCACAGAAUGCAGUUUAUUUAAACAAAAUAAAGGCAAGACCCUAAGAAGGGUUCACACACUGAAUAGUGAACUUUCCACUAUUUUCAGAUUAUCAUCAAGAGUAUAAGUGACCCAACAAACCAAGAUACUACGUUUGUACACAUGCCUCGUUUAAUUCGCAAAACCAGAAUUGCAUCUAGUAUUUGGGAAGGGUAUUAAACGUUGGGAACCUGACCUUCCUUCCUGCAGUUCAUCGUCUCAAAUCAAAGUCGGCAACUCCUCCAGGCACAGCUAACAGCCUCCAUCAUCUUUCAAUGUCCCAUGGUGCUCAGUUUCUCAAAUCUUAACUGUCAAGGGUUAGGUCACUAGUCACUAAUAAGAUAGAUUGCGAUUGUGCGAAGGCAAGAUAGGAUGCAUCCAGUACAUAUCACCGGGCAAACUCCAAAUCCUAUGGAGACCAAAAGAAUCAACCUGAAACAAUUAGUGAGAAUUCUUGAGCUUACAGUAUCGAAAUCGAUAGGCGCGUUGCAGGUUUGCUCUGCCCUAUCCUGGCUCCUCCUCCUUCACCAUCGGUUUGACGCGGCGCGAACAGGCCGGGGUGCGCGACGGGGCGGGGCGGCGACGAUACGACGGCGGCAACGAGAGCGGAGUCGCGGCGCACACAGCGCCGCCGGUGAGGGACGGAGUGUCACGGGGAGGCUACGUCUGAGGGAUUUGUUUUGUAUUUUUAGGGGGUCAGAAACUGCGAGAUGAAGCCCUA
rnacentral:lncRNA from 1 species